rnacentral:lncRNA from 1 species
GGAGCGCCGACGCGCGUCCGUCGCGGGUAAGCUGGAUAACUACGAGGACGCGUUCCUUCGCAUCAAGGACGCCACGGGCGUGGCGGACAUCCACGAGGUUGUCACCAAAUUCAUGACCCAGGAGGACACCAACAACAACCUCAAGCAGCUCACCAAGGACGGCCAGUCGAGGGUCGAGGCGCUCAAGGAGGAGAUUGACCAGACGAAGCAGAAGAUCGAUGCGCUCAAGCUGGACGGCGCGGGGACUGGCGCGUCGCGCAGGCUCGUGGACGAGUACGAGAGCCAGCUCUCCGAGGGCGCCGCCAACAACGACCGCGUCAAGGCUAAGUUUGAGCGCCUCAACAAGGUGAUGGUGAGCAUGAAGGCUGGCACCGAGCACCUCGUCGACAGGCUGGAAGGUAUCAAGACGGAGGCGGCGCCCCCGGCGGUGACGGACGAGACCGUGGUGGAGGUGAUGGCGCACUGCGAGCGCAAGCUCCUCCGAGCGAUGGACC